AGAUUGAACGCUAGCGGCAUGCCUAACACAUGCAAGUCGAACGGUAACAGGCCCUUCGGGGUGCUGACGAGUGGCGGACGGGUGAGUAAUGCAUCGGAACGUAUCCUUGAGUGGGGGAUAACGCAGCGAAAGUUGUGCUAAUACCGCAUAAGCUCUGAGGAGGAAAGCGGGGGAUCGUAAGACCUCGCGCUGGUGGAUGAGCCUACGUCCGAUUAGUUAGUUGGUGGGGUAAAGGCCUACCAAGGCUACGAUCGGUAGCUGGUCUGAGAGGACGAUCAGCCACACUGGGACUGAGACACGGCCCAGACUCCUACGGGCGGCAGC
rnacentral:rRNA from 1 species